rnacentral:lncRNA from 1 species
GGGCGCCCCUCCCCCAGCCUCGCUGCCGCCUUGCAGUUUGAUCUCAGACUGCUGUGCUAGCAAUUAGCAAGACUCCGUGGGCGUAGGACCCUCCGAGCCAGGUGCGGGUUAUAAUCUACUGGUGCGCCGUGUUUUAAGCCCGUGGAAAAGCACAGUAUUAGGGUGGGAGUGACCCGAUUUUCCAGGUGCCGUCGGUCACCCCUUUCUUUGACUAGGAAAGGGAACUCCCUGACCCCUUGCGCUUCCCGAGUGAGGCAAUGUCUCGCCCUGCUUUGGCUCGCGCAUGGUGCGCUGCACCCACUGUCCUGCGCCCACUGUCUGGCACUCCCUAGUGAGAUGAACGCGGUACCUCAGAUGGAAAUGCAGAAAUCACCUGUCUUCUGCGUCACUCAUGCUGGGAGCUGUAGACCCGAGCUGUUCCUGUUCGUCCAUCUUGGCUGUAAUCCCAGGUUCAUCAAAAUAAGAUAUGAUCAAGGUACAAAAGAGUUAAAGAAGCUAUUUAUUUUAAUGUUUCCUUGGAGAGCACACUUGUUAUUAUGCCUGCCCCAGCUUUGCCUUCCACCAUGAGUAAAAGCUUCCCAAGUCCUCCCCAGAAGCAGAUGCUGGCGCUAUGCUUCUGGUACAGCCUGAAAAACCUUGAGCCAAUUAAACCUCAGUGAGCUCAAGAUGUCUUUGUUGAAACAGAACCUCCCGAAGUUACAGUAUUGGUUUUGGGGCUCCACACAGAGAACACAUCACGGAAGCUAUAAUUGAGGAAGACAAAGCUGUCAGGACGACACCAAGAGAGUUAGAAAGCCCAAGAGUGGAGCAUUCUUCACCAUGAUUCCACCUGACACUUGGCUGAAAGCAUUUUGCACUAAUUUGCUUUGUGCCCGUUCAGACAAUCUAAAAAGAAAGGAUGGGGGGACAACAAGUGUCUAUUACACAGAAUAAACAGCCUCUGGCAAAUGAAUACA